ACCCCUGUGAACAUACCUUAUGUUGCCUCGGCGGAUCAGCCCGCGCCCCGUAAAAAGGGACGGCCCGCCGCAGGAACCCUAAACUCUGUUUUUAGUGGAACUUCUGAGUAUAAAAAACAAAUAAAUCAAAACUUUCAACAACGGAUCUCUUGGUUCUGGCAUCGAUGAAGAACGCAGCAAAAUGCGAUAAGUAAUGUGAAUUGCAGAAUUCAGUGAAUCAUCGAAUCUUUGAACGCACAUUGCGCCCGCCAGUAUUCUGGCGGGCAUGCCUGUUCGAGCGUCAUUUCAACCCUCAAGCCCAGCUUGGUGUUGGGAGCUGCAGUCCUGCUGCACUCCCCAAAUACAUUGGCGGUCACGUCGAGCUUCCAUAGCGUAGUAAUUUACAUAUCGUUACUGGUAAUCGUCGCGGCCACGCCGUUAAACCCCAACUUCUGAAUGUUGACCUCGGAUCAGGUAGGAAUACCCGCUGAACUUAAGCAUAUCAAUAAGCCGGAGGAA
rnacentral:rRNA from 1 species